GCACUGGGACCGGCAGCCGCCCGGGGUCCCGCACGACCGCGCGGACCGCCUGCUGGACCUCUACGGGUCGGGCGAGCGCCGCGCCUACGGGCCCCUUUUUCUGCGCGACCGCGUGGCUGUGGGCGCGGAUGCCUUUGAGCGCGGUGACUUCUCACUGCGUAUCGAGCCGCUGGAGGUCGCCGACGAGGGCACCUACUCCUGCCACCUGCACCACCAUUACUGUGGCCUGCACGAACGCCGCGUCUUCCACCUGACGGUCGCCGAACCCCACGCGGAGCCGCCCCCCCGGGGCUCUCCGGGCAACGGCUCCAGCCACAGCGGCGCCCCAGGCCCAGACCCCACACUGGCGCGCGGCCACAACGUCAUCAAUGUCAUCGUCCCCGAGAGCCGAGCCCACUUCUUCCAGCAGCUGGGCUACGUGCUGGCCACGCUGCUGCUCUUCAUCCUGCUACUGGUCACUGUACUCCUGGCCGCCCGCAGGCGCCGCGGAGGUGAGGCUGCCCCGGCAAAGCCAGCGGCCCCAGCAGACUGAGGUGGGCGGGAGGGCGGUCCUCUGGGCUGGGGGACCUGCGGAAGGGGCCGCACUGCCCCCAAUGUGAGUCUCCUUCCCAGGCUACGAAUACUCGGACCAGAAGUCGGGAAACUCAAAGGGGAAGGAUGUGAACUUGGCGGAGUUCGCUGUGGCUGCAGGGGACCAGAUGCUUUACGGGAGUGAGGACAUCCAACUAGAUUACAAAAACAACAUCCUGAAGGAGAGGGCGGAGCUGGCCCACAGCCCCCUGCCUGCCAAGUACAUCGACCUAGACAAAGGGUUCCGGAAGGAGAACUGCAAAUAGGGAGGCCCUGGGCUCCUGGCUGGGCCAGCAGCUGCACCUCUCCUGUCUGUGCUCCUCGGGGCGUCUCCUGAUGCUCCCAGGCUCACCCCCCUUCCAGCGGCUGGUCCCGCUUUCCUGGAAUUUGGCCUGGGCGUAUGCAGAGGCCGCCUCCACACCCCUCUCCCA
rnacentral:sRNA from 1 species